GACGAACGCUGGCGGCGUGCCUAAUACAUGCAAGUUGAGCGAUGAAGAUUGGUGCUUGCACCAAUUUGAAGAGCAGCGAACGGGUGAGUAACGCGUGGGGAAUCUGCCUUUGAGCGGGGGACAACAUUUGGAAACGAAUGCUAAUACCGCAUAAUAACUUUAAACAUAAGUUUUAAGUUUGAAAGAUGCAAUUGCAUCACUCAAAGAUGAUCCCGCGUUGUAUUAGCUAGUUGGUGAGGUAAAGGCUCACCAAGGCGAUGAUACAUAGCCGACCUGAGAGGGUGCUCGGCCACAUUGGGACUGAGACACGGCCCAAACUCCUACGGGAGGCAGCAGUAGGGAAUCUUCGGCAAUGGACGCAAGUCUGACCGAGCAACGCCGCGUGAGUGAAGAAGGUUUUCGGAUCGUAAAACUCUGUUGGUAGAGAAGAACGUUGGUGAGAGUGGAAAGCUCAUCAAGUGACGGUAACUACCCAGAAAGGGACGGCUAACUACGUG
rnacentral:rRNA from 1 species